rnacentral:rRNA from 1 species
CCUCCAAGGCUAAAUACUCCUGACUGACCGAUAGUGAACCAGUACCGUGAGGGAAAGGCGAAAAGAACCCCUGUGAGGGGAGUGAAAUAGAUCCUGAAACCGCAUGCAUACAAGCAGUGGGAGCACCUUCGUGGUGUGACUGCGUACCUUUUGUAUAAUGGGUCAGCGACUUAUAUUCAGUAGCAAGGUUAACCGUAUAGGGGAGCCGUAGAGAAAUCGAGUCUUAAUAGGGCGUUUAGUUGCUGGGUAUAGACCCGAAACCAGGCGAUCUAUCCAUGAGCAGGUUGAAGGUUGGGUAACACUAACUGGAGGACCGAACCCACUGUCGUUGAAAAGCCAGGGGAUGACUUGUGGAUAGGGGUGAAAGGCUAAUCAAGCCUGGUGAUAGCUGGUUCUCCCCGAAAGCUAUUUAGGUAGCGCCUCGGACGAAUACCAUAGGGGGUAGAGCACUGUUUCGGCUAGGGGGUCAUCCCGACUUACCAAACCGAUGCAAACUCCGAAUACCUAUGAGUACUAUCCGGGAGACAGACUGCGGGUGCUAACGUCCGUAGUCAAGAGGAAAACAAUCCAGACCGCCAGCUAAGGCCCCAAAAUCAUAGUUAAGUGGGAAACGAUGUGGGAAGGCAUAGACAGCUAGGAGGUUGGCUUAGAAGCAGCCACCCUUUAAAGAAAGCGUAAUAGCUCACUAGUCGAGUCGGCCUGCGCGGAAGAUGUAACGGGGCUAAAA